CCUACGGGAGGCUGCAGUGAGGAAUAUUGGUCAAUGGACGAGAGUCUGAACCAGCCAAGUCGCGUGAAGGAUGACUGUCCUAUGGGUUGUAAACUUCUUUUAUAUGGGAAUAAAACAGGGUAUGCAUACCAUCUUGUAUGUACCAUAUGAAUAAGGAUCGGCUAACUCCGUGCCAGCAGCCGCGGUAAUACGGAGGAUGCGAGCGUUAUCCGGAUUUAUUGGGUUAAAAGGGUGCGUAGGCGGAAUGCCAAGUCAGCGGUAAAAUUGCGGGGCUCAACCCCGCCCCGCCGUUGAAACUGGCGGUCUUGAGUGGGCGAGAAGUAUGCGGAACGCGUGGUGUAGCGGUGAAAUGCAUAGAUAUCACGCAGAACUCCGAUUGCGAAGGCAGCAGACCGGCGCCCAACUGACGCUGAGGCACGAAAGCGUGGGUAUCGAACAGGAUUAGAUACCCGAGUAGUC
rnacentral:rRNA from 1 species